rnacentral:rRNA from 1 species
GACGAACGCUGGCGGCGUGCUUAACACAUGCAAGUCGAACGAAGUGGCGAACGGGUGUGUAUUACGUGAGUAACCUGCCCUCCUUUUUGGGAUAAGCCUUGGAAACGGGGUCUAAUACCGACUAAAGGGGGAUGGGCUCGCGGCCUAUCAGCUUGUUGGGGGGGUGAUGGCCUACAAAGGCGGUGACGGGUAGCCGACCUGGGAGGGUGAUCGGGCACAAUGGGACUGGGACACGGCCCAGGAUCCGAAGGGAGGGAGCAGUAGGGAAUCUUCGGAAAUGGGGGGAACCCUUAACGAGCAACUCCGCGGGAGUGAAGAAGGUUGUCGGAGUGUAAAGCUAUGUUGUAGGAGAACACGUACUUAACCAGAAAGGGACGGCUAACUACGUGCCAGCAGCCGCGGUAAUUC